UACGGAAGGCAGCAGUGGGGAAUAUUGCACAAUGGGCGAAAGCCUGAUGCAGCUAUGCCGCGUGUAUGAAGAAGGCCUUAGGGUUGUAAAGUACUUUCAUCGGGGAGGAAAAAACAAAACUAAUAAUUUUAUUUCUUGACGUUACCCGAAAAAGAAGCACCGGCUAACUCCGUGCCAGCAGCCGCGGUAAUACGGAGGGUGCUAGCGUUAAUCAGAAUUACUGGGCGUAAAGAGCACGUAGGUGGUUUUUUUAAGUCAGAUGUGAAAUCCCUGGGCUUAACCUAGGAACUGCAUUUUGAAACUGAAAUACUAGAGUAUCGUAGAGGGAGGUAGAAUUCUAGGUGUAGCGGUGAAAUAGCGUAGAUAUCUGGAGGAAGUACCUGUGGCGAAAGCGGCCGUCCUAAACGAAUAACUGACACUGAGGGUGCGAAAGCGUGGGGAGGCAAACAGGGAUUAGAUACC
rnacentral:rRNA from 1 species